GCUCAUUUUUACGUUCACAAAA
rnacentral:miRNA from 1 species